UACGUAGGGUCCGAGCGUUGUCCGGAAUUAUUGGGCGUAAAGAGCUCGUAGGCGGUCUGUCACGUCGGCUGUGAAAACACGGGGCUCAACUCCGUGCCUGCAGUCGAUACGGGCAGACUAGAGUUCGGUAGGGGAGACUGGAAUUCCUGGUGUAGCGGUGAAAUGCGCAGAUAUCAGGAGGAACACCGGUGGCGAAGGCGGGUCUCUGGGCCGAAACUGACGCUGAGGAGCGAAAGCGUGGGGAGCAAACAGG
rnacentral:rRNA from 1 species